GAAUUAUUGCAUUUGUAAGCUUGAAUCUCUUGAACUUGUGGGCUGUUUAAGGUCGCUUCUCAUAUCCUUUUAAGCUUCAGUUUCUUAUUACGUAUUUUAGUUUGAUUUUCUUCUCAUUUAAGUUGGGUAGCCGCUGAUUUGUUGUUUUAAGGUGAAAUCUUGUUGGUUGUAUGAAAUUAAGAUGCUUCUGUCCAAAUGAUGAAUAAGAAAUAAUCUUGUGUCUAUUUAUGUGUUAGGAUUAGCUGUUUAUUCUCUCUUGUAUAGAUCAUGGUUCGACAAUAUUUUUUAUCUUUAAAUUAGUUUGGUUAAUAAGCAUGAAGGUUGUUAGCAUGUUCU
rnacentral:misc_RNA from 1 species